GCAAAACACUGUUUACACGAUCGCUCCUUUUGUACUGAUACCAUCUCAGUUACACAAAUAGGAGGUACCUACUCGAUUUACAUGUAUAGCUAUUUCAGUAACACGAACAACACCCUUUAAUAUUAUAUCGAACAAGAAAGUGCAUCUGCCUUGAAUAUGAGGGUUUCAGCUAUAUAUUACAUGGGGGCAAAGUCGAGAAGAGGAUAUAUAAAAGUAAAACAGUACGCAUAGUUAUAUAGCAGACGAUCCUCUUUUCAGCAGCUCCAAUUUAGUAGCAGCAACAGCCUGCCGUUGCCUUUCCUUCUUAUUGCGCUGGCACUCUGCACACCAGCUGGAGGUGUCCUUCUGGUGCUUCCUUAUCUCUCUAAAGACAGAACUUCUGCACCACAACAACAAGUUGAUCCUCUGCCCUGAUGUUGUUGCCCUAGCACCAUGGCGAUGACGACCACGAUGCAGCACUGCACGCCCCACGGUAUGGGCAUAAUCGAAGAUCUCCUCUGGUUGUGUUUCAACAUUCACAUGCUUCUCACACCGCACUCCACGGAAGAACAGCUCUCCACCCGAGAAUUGCUUACCCAAGCACACAUUUAAAGUCACUUCUGAAUCAUCGACAUGGAAACCCAAGUCAACAUCUCUGUCCAUUCCAUACUCAACAACAAAGCCAUGAUGGGAAUCAAGUGUGGAUCCACCAACUUCAGUAAAGAAAAUUCUCGAAAUGGGACGAAUGAAAUCUUCCAUCAACUUCUCCAGCAUGGCGUCAAGGCCAAAGUCAUCAAGAACGGCACCAAAUCUGUUCAUCGUAUUGGGACGCAUUAUUCUGAAUUUCGUCUCACGGACCCACCUCUCAAAGUUUUCUACCUCAGCCAACAACAUCUCACAAAAUCGUGGUUGAAGCAUUUCGAACGUAAAAACUCCAGGAGAGGGUUCAGACAUUAUGUUCCUGAAACUUUCCUCUGAGUUCUCACUAAUUGCCUUGAGAAAUGAUGGCACAAAGAAAU
rnacentral:misc_RNA from 1 species